CCUACGGGAGGCAGCAGUGGGGAAUAUUGCACAAUGGGGGAAACCCUGAUGCAGCGACGCCGCGUGAGUGAAGAAGUAUUUCGGUAUGUAAAGCUCUAUCAGCAGGGAAGAAAAUGACGGUACCUGACUAAGAAGCCCCGGCUAACUACGUGCCAGCAGCCGCGUGAAUACGUAGGGGGCAAGCGUUAUCCGGAUUUACUGGGUGUAAAGGGAGCGUAGACGGCCAGACAAGGAAGAAGUGAAAGCCCAGGGCUCAACCCUGGGACUGCUUUUGAAACUGCCGGGCUGGGGUGCAGGCGAGGUAAGCGGAAUUCCUAGUGUAGCGGUGAAAUGCGUAGAUAUUAGGAGGAACACCAGUGGCGAAGGCGGCUUACUGGACUGUAACUGACGUUGAGGCUCGAAAGCGUGGGGAGCAAACAGGAUUAGAUACCCCUGUAGUC
rnacentral:rRNA from 1 species